UAGAAUCGAACUUUUUUUUUC
rnacentral:piRNA from 1 species